AUAGGUGGCAAGCGUUGUCCGGAAUUAUUGGGCGUAAAGCGCGCGCAGGCGGUUCUUUAAGUCUGAUGUGAAAGCCCACGGGCUCAACCGUGGAGGGUCAUUGGGAACUGGAGAACUUGAGUACAGAAGAGGAAAGCGGAAUUCCACGUGUAGCGGUGAAAUGCGUAGAGAUGUGGAGGAACACCAGUGGCGAAGGCGGCUUUCUGGUCUGUAACUGACGCUGAGGCGCGAAAGCGUGGGGAGCAAACAGGAUUAGAUACCCUGGUAGUCCACGCCGUAAACGAUGAGUGCUAAGUGUUAGGGGGUUUCCGCCCCUUAGUGCUGCAGCUAACGCAUUAAGCACUCCGCCUGGGGAGUACGGCCGCAAGGCUG
rnacentral:rRNA from 1 species